GAUGAACGCUGGCGGCGUGCCUAAUACAUGCAAGUCGAGCGAACAGACGAGGAGCUUGCUCCUCUGACGUUAGCGGCGGACGGGUGAGUAACACGUGGAUAACCUACCUAUAAGACUGGGAUAACUUCGGGAAACCGGAGCUAAUACCGGAUAAUAUAUUGAACCGCAUGGUUCAAUAGUGAAAGACGGUUUUGCUGUCACUUAUAGAUGGAUCCGCGCCGCAUUAGCUAGUUGGUAAGGUAACGGCUUACCAAGGCGACGAUGCGUAGCCGACCUGAGAGGGUGAUCGGCCACACUGGAAAUGAGACACGGUCCAGAAUCCUACGGGAGGCCACCGUAGGGAAUCUUCCGGAAUGGGCGAAAACCUGACGGAGCAACGCCGCGUGAGUGAUGGAAGUCUUCGGGUCGGAAAACUCUGUUAUUAGGGAAGGACAAAUGUGUAAGUAACUAUGCACGUCUUGACGGUACCUAAUCAGAAAACCACGGCUAACUACGUG
rnacentral:rRNA from 1 species